UUUUACCUACCUGGUUAAGAAAGCAAGAACAUACUCUAAGUUAUACCAGCUUCUACUAAUGUUGUACUUAUUGUAAUUAUUGCCAAAAUUUUAUCUUUAACUGAAAACAAGCAAUCUUCUGAUUUGGAGCAAGCUUGUGCUUCUCUUGGUGAGGAGUUGCAGCAGAGAUGUGCUUGUCCCAAUUGUCUUAGAGAUAAUGUGGAGUCCCUGAGUGAAAUUCUUCAGGAAAAUGAGGCAAUCUGAACUCGUGUGGAGGUAGGCAUAUUCGUCAAACGGUAAUUCCAGAGAAAUUGCAUACGGAUCAAAUGAAGACUUACUUACCCGAGGACAUACAUAUCAGCUGCAUCCUUGAGAUUCAACCACUCAUCUAAAUCUACUGCUAGGCUUCCUAUUGGAGAUCUUCCAGCAACAUUCCAGGUACCCACGAAAAUCCUAAAACAUUUGCUGUCAGAUCAUACAUUCUUACGAAUUAAGCAAGCAAUUAUCUC